rnacentral:rRNA from 1 species
UACGUAGGGGGCUAGCGUUGUCCGGAAUCAUUGGGCGUAAAGCGCGUGUAGGCGGUCCGGUAAGUCCGCUGUGAAAGUCGGGGGCUCAACCCUCGAAUGCCGGUGGAUACUGUCGGGCUAGAGUGCGGAAGAGGCGAGUGGAAUUCCUGGUGUAGCGGUGAAAUGCGCAGAUAUCAGGAGGAACACCUAUUGCGAAGGCAGCUCGCUGGGACGUGACUGACGCUGAGACGCGAAAGCGUGGGGAGCGAACAGG